rnacentral:rRNA from 1 species
CAAAAACAUCGCCUCUUGCAAAAAUAUAUGUAUAAGAGGUCCUACCUGCCCAGUGACUAAGUUAAACGGCCGCGGUAUUUUGACCGUGCAAAGGUAGCGCAAUCACUUGUUUUUUAAAUAAAGACCUGUAUGAAUGGUGAAACGAGGGCUUAACUGUCUCCCUUUUCUAAUCAGUGAAAUUGAUCUACCCGUGCAGAAGCGGGUAUAAAUAUACAAGACGAGAAGACCCUAUGGAGCUUAAGACAUAAAAUCAAUCUAUGUUUAAAAACCCUACUUUAAAGGUAAAAACAAAAUAGCUAAUUGAUUAACGUCUUCGGUUGGGGCGACCAUGGGAGAAAAAAAAUCCCCCAUGUGGAACGGGAUAUAUCCUAAAACCACGAGGUACACCUCUAAGGCACAGAACUUCUGACCAAAAGAUCCGGCAUAAAGCCGAUCAACGAACCAAGUUACCCUAGGGAUAACAGCGCAAUCCCCUCCAAGAGUCCAUAUCGACAAGGGGGUUUACGACCUCGAUGUUGGAUCAGGACAUCCUAAUGGUGCAGCCGCUAUUAAGGGUUCGUUUGUUCAACGAUUAAAGUCCUACGUGAUCUGAG